UACGUAGGCAGCGAGCGUUGUUCGGAGUUACUGGGCGUAAAGCGUGUGUAGGCGGGCCCGUAAGUGUCUUGUGAAAUCCCACGGCUCAACCGUGGAACUGCUGGGCAUACUGCGGGUCUUGGGCCAACUAGGGGCAGCCGGAACAAGCGGUGGAGCGGUGAAAUGCGUAGAUAUCGCUUGGAACGCCGAAGGUGAAAACAGGCUGCUGGGGUUGCGCCGACGCUGAGACACGAAAGCCAGGGGAGCAAACGGG
rnacentral:rRNA from 1 species